ACGACAAUAUUGAAGUGUGUGUGUGUGUAGUAGUAAUAGUAGUAACAACAAGAAUAUAAACAAUUAAAGCACUGUAUGCACAUAAAGUUGCAAAAAUGGAAGAUGUGGCAAUAAAUCGAAGAGUAUAUGACAGCAAAUGGUUAAACAAACUAAAGGGUAAAAACGAAGUCGUUUAAUGCACGUGAAGCUUUCAAGCAGGGCGAAGAAAAACAUGAGCUUUAAUUUUAGGCAAAACAAAGCGAAGAGCGAGAGAAAGUUAACUGCCCGAAUUCCACACUCAGUGGCCUAAUGACCGCAUUUUCCAUGUAAACACCAUCGAAGCCGAUGAGAUCACAGAAGCAGCUGGAAAAUGGGGAAAUGCAGGCAACAGGUGAUGCAGAUGCAAUCGAGAGAUUGCGAGAGUGGGAAAAAGCGUGCAGGAGGAAAUGAGGUAUCAGAUGAGGCAACGUAAGUGCUAUUAGACAGCAAUCGCCACUAAUCACAUAACCAUUAAGACAAUAACAACAACACGGAGAAUGAAAGAAAAAAGCGUGAAGCAUCUGAAAAAGCUUGAGACUAACAGCAAAUUCAACAGCAGGCAUUUUCUUCAAACGAGCUUUACACAUGCAACAGCACUCAGUAUCAAUUUGCCGCAACUAUUUAUGUUGUUUGUUACUGUUUCUGCCUCAUGUUAGACAACUUGCAACAUCAUUAUCGCGCCUGCGGCAAGUGCUCGUUGCAUGGCACUGGCAAAUUUACUUACUGGGAAUUGGCAACUGGGCGUAUUGGGAGCAACUGCAACAGCAUUUAUGCAUUUUCUUGUGAAAAUAAUUUGUUUGUAAAUUCGUAGAACACAAAACAAAAAAAAAA